AUCAACUUUCGAUGGUAGGAUAGAGGCCUACCAUGGUGGUAACGGGUAACGGGGUGUUAGGGCACGACACCGGAGAGGGAGCCUGAGAAACGGCUACCACAUCCAAGGAUGGCAGCAGGCGCGCAAAUUACCCAAUCCCGACACGGGGAGGUAGUGACAAUAAAUAACAAUACGGGGUUCUUUCGGAUUUCGUAAUUGGAAUGAGUACAAUUUAAAUCUCUUAACGAGGAACAAUUGGAGGGCAAGUCUGGUGCCAGCAGCCGCGGUAAUUCCAGCUCCAAUAGCGUAUAUUAAAGUUGCUGCAGUUAAAAAGCUCGUAGUUGAAUUUCGGGACUAAUAUGUCAGUCGUGCCUCGGUACGUACUGGUUUAUUGGUUUCUCCUUUCUGAAGAACCAUGAUGUCAUUUAUUUGGUGUCGUGGGGAAUCAGGACUGUUACUUUGAAAAAAUUAGAGUGUUUAAAGCAGGCUCACGCUUGAAUACAUUAGCAUGGAAUAAUGAAAUAGGACGUUUGAUUCUAUUUUGUUGGUUUCUAGGAUCGACGUAAUGAUUAAUAGGGAUAGUUGGGGGCAUUAGUAUUCAAUUGUCAGAGGUGAAAUUCUUGGAUUUAUUGAAGACUAACUACCGCGAAAGCAUUUGCCAAGGAUGUUUUCAUUAAUCAAGAACGAAAGUUAGGGGAUCGAAGACGAUCAGAUACCGUCGUAGUCUUAACCAUAAACUAUGCCGACUAGGGAUCGGAUGAUGUUAAUUUUUUAAUGACUCAUUCGGCGCCUUACGGGAAACCAAAGUGUUUGGGUUC
rnacentral:rRNA from 1 species